UACGAAGGGGGCUAGCGUUGCUCGGAAUCACUGGGCGUAAAGCGCACGUAGGCGGACUCUUAAGUCGGGGGUGAAAUCCUGGAGCUCAACUCCAGAACUGCCUUCGAUACUGAGAGUCUUCGAGUUCGGGAGAGGUGAGUGGAACUGCGAGUGUAGAGGUGAAAUUCGUAGAUAUUCGCAAGAACACCAGUGGCGAAGGCGGCUCACUGGCCCGGUACUGACGCUGAGGUGCGAAAGCGUGGGGAGCAAACAGG
rnacentral:rRNA from 1 species